CCUACGGGAGGCUGCAGUGAGGAAUAUUGGUCAAUGGGCGCUAGCCUGAACCAGCCAAGUAGCGUGAAGGAUGACUGCCCUAUGGUUUGUAAACUUCUUUUAUAUGGGAAUAAAGUGCAGUAUGUAUACUGCUUUGCAUGUACCUUAUGAAACAGGAUCGGCUAACUACGUGCCAGCAGCCGCGGUAAUACGGAGGAUCCGAGCGUUAUCCGGAUUUAUUGGGUUUAAAGGGAGCGUAGGCGGGUUGUUAAGUCAGUUGUGAAAGUUUGCGGCGCAACCGUAAAAUUGCAGUUGAUACUGGGAUCCUUGAGUACAGUAGAGGUAGGCGGAAUUCGAGGUGUAGCGGUGAAAUGCUUAGAUAUCACGAAGAACUCCGAUUGCGAAGGCAGCCUGCUGGACUGUAACUGACGCUGAUGCUCGAAAGUGUGGGUAGCAAACAGGAUUAGAUACCCUGGUAGUC
rnacentral:rRNA from 1 species